GCGGGGGGUCCGCGGAGGGGGUGGAGGGAGCCUGCCCGGGAAGAGCCGGGAGGUGGUGUGAGACCGCGAGUCUCAAGCUACAGCCAGCUUCAGAAGCACCUGCACAGCUCGAAACUCUUGGCCAGCCCUGUCGCCAGAGUUUCUGAUUUGUGGUUAUGCAUUUGAGGUGUUGAAGGAUGCAAGGAAUCUCUCAUUGCACGGACCCUCUGCAGGACAGGGAAGAAUACCAUUUUCCCCAGAAUUUCUGGUACAUGGAUGAUGAUCAAUAAAUACUUAAAAUUGUGCUGAAGACAACAUGUCUCUUUAAGAACAUAUACCUUCCAGGACUCCUUUGAAGCUAGAGUGGCUACAACCUCAGUCUGGACAAAGAUAUAGAUUAUGGUGAAAGAACAGUUUGUCAUAAUUUUACAGAAGGCAUACCAGAGGAUCAAGAUGAACAUUGGCUCAGGGAGGAUCUACUCUCAACCAUAGGGAUAAUCUUGGAUUUUCAUUGAUCAUUCCCUUUUCAUUUUUCAUUGUCUUUUCUUUCCAGUUUGCUUUUGUAUUUCCUUACUUUCAUUACCAGGUCAUUUUCCUUAAUUCCUUCUUUUUGGAAAACAGCAUGAAUAAAUGGAAGGAACAUGAAUUUUGGAGUAUAAAUAGACCUGAGUUUCAAUACAACUUUGCCUGUUACUAGAUGUGCAUUCUUGGGUAAGUUAUUUACCCUUUGGAACUCUACUGUUUUCUUCUAAGGAUUGCCUGUGAAAAUACGAAUAAUAUUCAUAAGGCAUCUAGCACAGUGCCUGGCCCAUGGAAGACAUAUGUUACCUGUGAUUAUUAACUUUACUACUCUGACUUUCUUGCCCUGCAUUUUUUUCUGUGAUCACUUGCCAUUUUUUAUUGGGCUUAGAUGAAUCUAUACAUUUGUGAUCUCUGAAAAUAGUGGUUUACCUUCUUUCCUCUUAAUAUUAGGUCAGCAAUAUGACAUCAGAAAAACAGCUUAUGCAGUCAGCCUGAAUUACAAGAGAAUGAAUAAAAGUUGAAUGUGUCCAGAAUCAGAGUACUAGAGCCUUGAUGGAUUUUAGAGACCAGCUGCUUCAACUCUUUUUAUUUUAUAGAUGAACAAACUGACAUAGCAAAGAUAAGCAAUUUGCCCAAAGCCCAUGGAAGAGCAUAUGUAGAUGUAGAUACUGAGAUUUCCCCACUUAGGAAAAUACUUUAUUUUAAUUAAGACAAAAUUCAUAAAACAUAAGUUAACCAUUUAAAAAUGUAUAAUUCAGUGGCAAACAGUACAUUUACAAUGUGCAGCCCUCACCUUUAUCUAUUUCCAAAACAUUUUCAUCACCCCGUGUUCAUUAAGCAGUCACCCCGCCCCAUCCUCCCUCAUACCAGCCCCUGGUAAUCACUAAUCUGCUUUCUGUUUCUAUGGACUUGCUUAUUCUGGACAUUUCAUGCAAAUAGAAUCAUAUACUCUGUGAUCUUUUGUGUCUGAUCUCUUUUACUCAGUAUAACGUCUUCAAUUCAUACUCAUUGUUUAAAAAUUCAAACAUUAAGGACAGUAUAAUGAAGAAACUAAAAAAAUAUUCUGUAAUCUCACCUACCUUUGAUGAAGACUAUUAACAGU